rnacentral:lncRNA from 1 species
GGGAGUGUUUGAGUGAUUUUAAGAGAAAAUUUGGGAUUGUGGAGUUAUCCCAAUUUGGUGGAUUGAAGAUUUCGGCUUUCUCUCCUCUCGCUCUCCCAUUUUCGGUCAUUUUGGUAUUGCUCUUUUUUUUCUUUUCAAAAUUUUGCUGCCGCUCUGUCCUUCUGUGCCCUCUGCCAAAUUUUUUAUUCCUUAUUUCCCCUUCUAACUUUUUUUUCUUCAUCCUUGUUGCCUUUUCUCCUCUGUUGCAGCAUUUCUUUUCUUCGUUCAUUGUUUCCC